GGCUGCAGCAGCUUCCAUGCAAGCCGAGCGGUAUUGUUUCUUCGGAAACGAGAGAGCGGCGCACGGGUGCGGAACACGUGUGCAACCUGCCUUUAUCUGGGGGAUAGCCUUUCAAAAGGAAGAUUAAUACCCCAUAAUAUUUUGAAUGGCAUCAUUUAAAAUUGAAAACUCCGGUGGAUAGAGAUGGGCACGCGCAAGAUUAUAUAUUUGGUAGGGUAACGGCCUACCAGGUCAGUGAUCUUUAGGGGGCCUGAGAGGGUGAUCCCCCACACUGGUACUGAGACACGGACCAGACUCCUACGGGAGGCAGCAGUGAGGAAUAUUGGACAAUGGGUGAGAGCCUGAUCCAGCCAUCCCGCGUGAAGGACGACGGCCCUAUGGGUUGUAAACUUCUUUUGUACAGGGAUAAACCUUUCCACGUGUGGAAAGCUGAAGGUACUGUACGAAUAAGCACCGGCUAACUCCGUGCCAGCAGCCGCGGUAAUACGGAGGGUGCAGGCGUUAUCCGGAUUUAUUGGGUUUAAAGGGUCCGUAGGCGGAUCCGUAAUUCAUUGGUGAAAUCUCAUACCUUAACUAUGAAACUGCCAUUGAUACUGCGGGUCUUGAGUAAGGUAGAAGUAGCUGGAAUAAUUAGUGUAGCGGUGAAAUGCAUAGAUAUUACUUAGAACACCACUUGCGAAGGCAGGUUACUAUGUCUUAACUGACGCUGAUGGACGAAAGCGUGGGGAGCGAACAGGAUUAGAUACCCUGGUAGUCCACGCCGUACACGAUGCUAACUCGUUUUUGGGCUUUCGGGUUCAGAGACUAAGCGAAAGUGAUAAGUUAGCCACCUGGGGAGUACGAACGCAAGUUUGAUCUCAAACGAAUUGACGGGGGCCCGCACACGCGGUGGAUUAUGUGGUUUAAUUCUAUGAUACGCGAGGAACCUUACCACACUUAAUGGAUUGAUCGGUUUAGAAUAGACCUUCCGUCGGCAAUUUCAACGUGCUGCAUGGUUGUCGUCAGCUCGUGCCCUGACGUGUAGGUUAAGUCUGCAACGACGCACCCCUGUCACUAGUUGCCAUCAUUCGUUGGGGACUCUAUGAGACUGACCUACGCAGGUAAAACGGAAGGGGGGGUGAGGUCAAUCUUCCCGCCCUUACCUUUGUGGGCGCCCCCUAUACAAGGACGGUACAUUG
rnacentral:rRNA from 1 species